UUGAACGCUGGCGGCAUGCCUUACACAUGCAAGUCGAACGGCAGCACGGACUUCGGUCUGGUGGCGAGUGGCGAACGGGUGAGUAAUGUAUCGGAACGUACCUUUCAGUGGGGGAUAACGUAGCGAAAGUUACGCUAAUACCGCAUAUUCUGUGAGCAGGAAAGCAGGGGAUCGAAAGACCUUGCGCUGAUUGAGCGGCCGAUAUCAGAUUAGCUAGUUGGUGGGGUAAAGGCCUACCAAGGCGACGAUCUGUAGCGGGUCUGAGAGGAUGAUCCGCCACACUGGAACUGAGACACGGUCCAGACUCCUACGGGAGGCAGCAGUGGGGAAUUUUGGACAAUGGGGGCAACCCUGAUCCAGCCAUGCCGCGUGAGUGAAGAAGGCCUUCGGGUUGUAAAGCUCUUUCGGCCGGGUAGAAAUCGCAUAGGCUAAUACCCUGUGUGGAUGACGGUACCGGAAUAAGAAGCACCGGCUAACUACGUG
rnacentral:rRNA from 1 species